rnacentral:rRNA from 1 species
AACGCGAAGAACCUUACCAGGGCUUGACAUGCACGGUGCACCCGCAGAGAUGUGGGGUCCUUUGGGGCCGUGUGCAGGUGGUGCAUGGUUGUCGUCAGCUCGUGUCGUGAGAUGUUGGGUUAAGUCCCGCAACGAGCGCAACCCUUGUCCUAUGUUGCCAGCACGCACUUCGGUGUGGUGGGGACUCGUGGGAGACUGCCGGGGUCAACUCGGAGGAAGGUGGGGAUGACGUCAAAUCAUCAUGCCCCUUAUGUCCUGGGCUGCACGCAUGCUACAAUGGCCGGUACAAAGGGCUGCGAUACCGUGAGGUGGAGCGAAUCCCAGAAAGCCGGUCUCAGUUCGGAUCGGGGUCUGCAACUCGACCCCGUGAAGUCGGAGUCGCUAGUAAUCGCAGAUCAGCAAUGCUGCGGUGAAUACGUUCCCGGGCCUUGUACACACCGCUCGCGA